rnacentral:rRNA from 1 species
AGAGUUUGAUCCUGGCUCAGGAUGAACGCUAGCUACAGGCUUAACACAUGCAAGUCGAGGGGCAGCAUUUUAGUUUGCUUGCAAACUAAAGAUGGCGACCGGCGCACGGGUGAGUAACACGUAUCCAACCUGCCGAUAACUCGGGGAUAGCCUUUCGAAAGAAAGAUUAAUAUCCGAUGGUAUAUUAAAACCGCAUGGUUUUACUAUUAAAGAAUUUCGGUUAUCGAUGGGGAUGCGUUCCAUUAGUUUGUUGGCGGGGUAACGGCCCACCAAGACAACGAUGGAUAGGGGUUCUGAGAGGAAGGUCCCCCACAUUGGAACUGAGACACGGUCCAAACUCCUACGGGAGGCAGCAGUGAGGAAUAUUGGUCAAUGGGCGAGAGCCUGAACCAGCCAAGUAGCGUGAAGGAUGACUGCCCUAUGGGUUGUAAACUUCUUUUAUAAAGGAAUAAAGUCGGGUAUGGAUCCCCGUUUGCAUGUACUUUAUGAAUAAGGAUCGGCUAACUCCGUGCCAGCAGCCGCGGUAAUACGGAGGAUCCGAGCGUUAUCCGGAUUUAUUGGGUUUAAAGGGAGCGUAGAUGGAUGUUUAAGUCAGUUGUGAAAGUUUGCGGCUCAACCGUAAAAUUGCAGUUGAUACUGGAUAUCUUGAGUGCAGUUGAGGCAGGCGGAAUUCGUGGUGUAGCGGUGAAAUGCUUAGAUAUCACGAAGAACUCCGAUUGCGAAGGCAGCUCACUAGACUGUCACUGACACUGAUGCUCGAAAGUGUGGGUAUCAAACAGGAUUAGAUACCCUGGUAGUCCACACAGUAAACGAUGAAUACUCGCUGUUUGCGAUAUACAGUAAGCGGCCAAGCGAAAGCAUUAAGUAUUCCACCUGGGGAGUACGCCGGCAACGGUGAAACUCAAAGGAAUUGACGGGGGCCCGCACAAGCGGAGGAACAUGUGGUUUAA